CUGCCUUAUCUAAUGUAUCCAAUCUAUGUCUUUGCUCUUGCCAAGUAAAUAUUAAGCCUUCUGGAAUCAACCAUCUAUAAUUCACUCCCUUCUUAAUUA